GGGAGGGGGUGAGAUUUUUUUGGCUUUAUUGUUUUAUCUUGCUUGGUUGGUGGUGUGUGAUUGUUUUAUUUUUUUUGAGUUGAUUAUUUCUCCAUUAGAUUUCUGGUGAGAUGCCUAUGAUGAUUUCUUUUCAAAAUUUGUGAUUUCCAAUUUUUCUUGAUGAUUGGAGCAUGAUUUGAACUAAUUUGUAUGAUUUAAAAGUGAUUUUAGCCUUGACUUUUGAUGUUGAAUAAACCUGUGAGGAUUUGAGUCAUAACUGUUUAUUAUAUGCAGUUUAUUCUUUGUUGUGAGUUUUGUCAUGCAUGUGAUGAUCUUCUAGAACUUGCCAUGGUUU
rnacentral:lncRNA from 1 species